UAUUUUUGUUGCCAACUAAUCACAGCUGUUUAUUUUCUCCACCCUCCACUAUAUAAUAGAACGAUCGUAACCCUUUUUUUUACCGAACUCAAUUUGCCGCGUCAAAUUUGCCUCAUUACAAUUUCUCUCCAAUUUUCAAUUCUUAGUUUCAUGAACGUAUCAUCGAUCUGUUUCUCAUAAGAUCGUUAGAGUUCUACAAAAUAUGUUUCACUUAUGAAAAUUCUCAUUCAAUCAAGUCUCGAAUCCGCCACCGUCAGAUAUCGGUUGAUCAGCGAAUGAUCGUGUGUUUUUCUGCGAGGUUCGUGUUUGAAUCGGAGCAAUUAACACGGAAUCAAUUGUAUAAUUGUAGAGUUUAUGAUAACAAUCGUAUAGGAUAUUAAUUAUAUUUUGUAUCCAUUGCAAAUUCGGUUGGCGAGAUCAGAAGUUUAGGCAUAGCAACAUAAGGUAUUUGACAAUUUGUUGUGUUUCUAUGUUAUUAAUUUGUUAAUUGUGAAUGGAUCUUUGCUAUGUCAGGUGCGCUUGCAUAGCAGAUCCGAAAAAUCUUAAUAAAAUUGAAGUUAUUUUGUUUUGAGAGGGGAGAGAUAGGUUUGGGGAUUUUUAUUUUUAUUUUUUUCCCCAACCUAUUUUUCUUUCCCUCUGUUGUGCGUGUGUGUCUUGUGUCUUCUCCUUUCUCUUUUCUAUUCUGUUAUUUUUUUUAUUCUUCAAUGCACCCCACAGCACCGCACAUGAUAUGAUUCUAAUCAGCAAUCUAUCGUCGUUACGAAACCCAAUUCAACUAGUAAUCGCCGACAUGAUUAUUUUGUUAUAAUAUUGCUCAAUUUAUCAUAGAAUUAAGUAAUUUAUAAUCUGUUUUAUACUAAUAAUUGACUCACAUCCUGAAUUCAUGACAUUAUUUUACGGUGUAUUUGAUUAAAUUGAAGGGUAUGGCUGCAAUUUAAUUCUCCGAUAUGUUGUUUGUUGUUCACGCUUCAAUCAUCUAAGACAGACACGUCCAAUAUUCUUGAUCAAUUGACUAUUUUAUUUUACCACUUACAUUUCAAUGUCUUUUUAUUAUUUCUAGUAAUAAAUUUUGUUAAGUUAACUAUUAUUGGAAUUCAGUCAAACAUUUAACCAAAGGAAUUUUCUAACAUGCACUUGGUUUUGUAGUGGUACACAUUCAACAAGUAUACUCAGAAGAGGGAAAAGUUACUGUCAAUUAAAUAUUCUAUAAUUUUAAUUCAAUUCAGUAUCAAACAUAUUGAUAUACCUUUUCAUUACCACUUAAGAGUUUUUAAUUUUGUACAAUAACUGAGUUGCAUUGGAUCAUCUGAAUUAUUUGUCUGGGCAAGCAAACUUAUUUAGUGAAUACAAAAAAAUAUGCAGAUGCAUAUGUCAGUUAAACAUAUAAUAUCAAGUUCUCAACUCAUGAAGUUUAUCUAAAUUUCGGUGUAUAUCUUUAUGUUGGUAAAUAUCUGAUAAACCAUCUUUGCUCAAUACUAUGACUGUUGAUACUGGUUGGCGAUUCUCUGCUGUAUCUUAUGCUCUUCAUUGGAUUUGUAAUUGGGUUUCUCGGUUUGGGAGUUUGUUGUAUGAAAUGUUUUAAAAAGAAGCUGAGGAGCUCACUAGCUGGUGAUCAGGGAUGGCUAUACGAACUGUAUCAAUUGCUUCUUCAUGUUGUAGUUAUCAUAUGGAUGAUUCAAGCUCCUUGGACAAAUUGUGCUACAGCUUUGUGAAGUAGUGGAAGUCAUUUGAUGCUUUGCUUGAGGUAUUUGUUUUCACCCUGAAUGAUAGAUUGACCGUUCCUGAUUCAUGGCAAUGAAUAAAGUUAUAACGUUUCUUGUGUUUUGUGGUUUCAAAUCUGCAUAAUAGCCCUUUUUUAUCGAACAUUGUUUCCAAGGUGAUUAUGUAGUUCUUUGUUGGGGAUUGAUCGAUUUUACAUUGUAAAAAAGCCAGUUUCAAAGGGUUUAGGCACUAAUGCUCUUAAUGUUGUUUUGGAAUAUUGAUUUCAUAAAGGAAGAUGUGUUUAACAUUCA